UACGUAGGAGGCAAGCGUUGUCCGGAAUUACUGGGCGUAAAGCGCGUGUAGGUGGUGGGACAAGUCUGCUGUGAAAGCGCCUGGCUUAACCGGGCGAGGUCGGCGGAAACUGUUCGACUCGAGGACGGUAGAGGGGGGUGGAAUUCCCGGUGUAGUGGUGAAAUGCGUAGAGAUCGGGAGGAACACCUGUGGCGAAGGCGGCCCCCUGGGCCGGCCCUGACACUGAGACGCGAAAGCGUGGGGAGCGAACAGG
rnacentral:rRNA from 1 species